CAAUUUAAAGCUUAUUUAGUAAAGCUCUUCAUUUACAUUGAAGAAAUUAUUGUGCAAAUCAAUAUAAAUUGA
rnacentral:tRNA from 1 species